rnacentral:rRNA from 1 species
GAUGAACGCUGGCGGCGUGCCUAAUACAUGCCAGUCGAGCGAACAGACGAGGAGCUUGCUCCUCUGACGUUAGCGGCGGACGGGUGAGUAACACGUGGAUAACCUACUUAUAAGACUGGGAUAACUUCGGGAAACCGGAGCUAAUACCGGAUAAUAUAUUGAACCGCAUGGUUCAAUAGUGAAAGACGGUUUUGCUGUCACUUAUAGAUGGAUCCGCGCCGCAUUAGCUAGUUGGUAAGGUAACGGCUUACCAAGGCAACGAUGCGUAGCCGACCUGAGAGGGUGAUCGGCCACACUGGAACUGAGACACGGUCCAGACUCCUACGGGAGGCAGCAGUAGGGAAUCUUCCGCAAUGGGCGAAAGCCUGACGGAGCAACGCCGCGUGAGUGAUGAAGGUCUUCGGAUCGUAAAACUCCGUUAUUAGGGAAGAACAAAUGUGUAAGUAACUAUGCACGUCUUGACGGUACCUAAUCAGAAAGCCACGGCUAACUACGUG